AUGAACGCUAGCGACAGGCUUAACACAUGCAAGUCGAGGGGCAGCACAGGUAGCAAUACCGGGUGGCGACCGGCGCACGGGUGAGUAACGCGUAUGCAACUUGCCUAUCAGAGGGGGAUAACCCGGCGAAAGUCGGACUAAUACCGCAUGAAGCAGGGGCCCCGCAUGGGGAUAUUUGCUAAAGAUUCAUCGCUGAUAGAUAGGCAUGCGUUCCAUUAGGCAGUUGGCGGGGUAACGGCCCACCAAACCGACGAUGGAUAGGGGUUCUGAGAGGAAGGUCCCCCACAUUGGUACUGAGACACGGACCAAACUCCUACGGGAGGCAGCAGUGAGGAAUAUUGGUCAAUGGCCGAGAGGCUGAACCAGCCAAGUCGCGUGAGGGAUGAAGGUUCUAUGGAUCGUAAACCUCUUUUAUAAGGGAAUAAAGUGCGGGACGUGUCCCGUUUUGUAUGUACCUUAUGAAUAAGGAUCGGCUAACUCCGUGCCAGCAGCCGCGGUAAUACGGAGGAUCCGAGCGUUAUCCGGAUUUAUUGGGUUUAAAGGGUGCGUAGGCGGCCUUUUAAGUCAGCGGUGAAAGUCUGUGGCUCAACCAUAGAAUUGCCGUUGAAACUGGGGGGCUUGAGUAUGUUUGAGGCAGGCGGAAUGCGUGGUGUAGCGGUGAAAUGCAUAGAUAUCACGCAGAACCCCGAUUGCGAAGGCAGCCUGCCAAGCCAUGACUGACGCUGAUGCACGAAAGCGUGGGGAUCAAACAGGAUUAGAUACCCUGGUAGUCCACGCAGUAAACGAUGAUCACUAGCUGUUUGCGAUACACUGUAAGCGGCACAGCGAAAGCGUUAAGUGAUCCACCUGGGGAGUACGCCGGCAACGGUGAAACUCAAAGGAAUUGACGGGGGCCCGCACAAGCGGAGGAACAUGUGGUUUAAUUCGAUGAUACGCGAGGAACCUUACCCGGGUUUGAACGCAUUCGGACCGAGGUGGAAACACCUUUUCUAGCAAUAGCCGUUUGCGAGGUGCUGCAUGGUUGUCGUCAGCUCGUGCCGUGAGGUGUCGGCUUAAGUGCCAUAACGAGCGCAACCCUUGCCACUAGUUACUAACAGGUGAUGCUGAGGACUCUGGUGGGACUGCCAGCGUAAGCUGCGAGGAAGGCGGGGAUGACGUCAAAUCAGCACGGCCCUUACAUCCGGGGCGACACACGUGUUACAAUGGCGUGGACAAAGGGAAGCCACCUGGCGACAGGGAGCGAAUCCCCAAACCACGUCUCAGUUCGGAUCGGAGUCUGCAACCCGACUCCGUGAAGCUGGAUUCGCUAGUAAUCGCGCAUCAGCCAUGGCGCGGUGAAUACGUUCCCGGGCCUUGUACACACCGCCCGUCAAGCCAUGGGAGCCGGGGGUACCUGAAGUCCGUAACCGCGAGGAUCGGCCUAGGGUAAAACUGGUGACUGGGGCU
rnacentral:rRNA from 1 species